rnacentral:rRNA from 1 species
CCUACGGGUGGCAGCAGUAGGGAAUAUUGCUCAAUGGGGGAAACCCUGAAGCAGCAACGCCGCGUGGGGGAUGAAGGAUUUCGGAUUGUAAACUCCUAUUGUCAGAGAAGAUAAUGACGGUAUCUAACGAAUAAGCACCGGCUAACUCCGUGCCAGCAGCCGCGGUAAUACGGAGGGUGCAAGCGUUACUCGGAAUCACUGGGCGUAAAGGGCGCGUAGGCGGGAUAGCAAGUCAGAUGUGAAAUCCUAUGGCUUAACCAUAGAACUGCAUUUGAAACUGUUAUUCUAGAGUAUGGGAGAGGUAAGUGGAAUUCUUGGUGUAGGGGUAAAAUCCGUAGAGAUCAAGAGGAAUACUCAUUGCGAAGGCGGCCUGCUAGAACAUAACUGACGCUGAUGCGCGAAAGCGUGGGGAGCAAACAGGAUUAGAUACCCCAGUAGUC